UGAGGAAUAUUGGGCAAUGCCCGCAAGGGUGACCCAGCAACGCCGCGUGGAGGAUGAAUGUCGUAAGAUUGUAAACUCCUGUUAGAGGGGAAGAAUAGUACCGGUUGGACCGGUAUAUGACUGUACCCUCAGAGAAAGCCCCGGCUAACUACGUGCCAGCAGCCGCGGUAAUACGUAGGGGGCAAGCGUUGUCCGGAUUUACUGGGUGUAAAGGGCGCGCAGGCGGGAUAAAAAGUCAGUGGUGAAAUCCUACAGCUUAACUGUAGAACUGCCUUUGAUACUUUUAUUCUUGAGUUCGGGAGAGAAGGACGGAAUUCCAGGUGUAGUGGUGAAAUACGUAGAUAUCUGGAAGAACACCAGUUGCGAAGGCGGUCUCUUGGUCCGACACUGACGCUGAGGCGCGAAAGCGUGGGGAGCAAACA
rnacentral:rRNA from 1 species